rnacentral:tRNA from 1 species
GCCGGCGUCGCAUAACUUGGCAUUGCGCCAGCCUUGAGAGCUGGUGAGUCCCUGACUCUUGCAGGUUCAAAUCCUGCCGCCGGCG